rnacentral:rRNA from 1 species
GCCUACGGGGCGCAGCAGUGAGGAAUAUUGGUCAAUGGGCGCAAGCCUGAACCAGCCAUGCCGCGUGCAGGAUGACGGUCCUAUGGAUUGUAAACUGCUUUUGCACAGGAAGAAACACUCGGACGUGUCCGAGCUUGACGGUACUGUGAGAAUAAGGAUCGGCUAACUCCGUGCCAGCAGCCGCGGUAAUACGGAGGAUCCAAGCGUUAUCCGGAAUCAUUGGGUUUAAAGGGUCCGUAGGCGGUUUGAUAAGUCAGUGGUGAAAGCCCUACGCUCAACGUAGGAACGGCCAUUGAUACUGUUAGACUUGAAUUAUUUGGAAGUAACUAGAAUAUGUAGUGUAGCGGUGAAAUGCUUAGAGAUUACAUGGAAUACCAAUUGCGAAGGCAGGUUACUACAAAUGGAUUGACGCUGAUGGACGAAAGCGUGGGUAGCGAACAGGAUUAGAUACCCCGGU